AAGGAUGAUUUAUUAUCUUGAAAUUCCAAAUUUAAAAUAGUUGCCAUUUGAUAUAUAUUGGAACAUGGGACACUUUUCAUCUGUGUUAAAUCCGUGGUAGAUCCUUGCAGCAGACUAAGCUGUGUUUUUGCACGUUGCCUUCAGAUUUGAAUAUAUCUUUGUCAUACUCAUCACAAAGUACUUUGAAAAACUGAAUUUGCUGGAACAUGAUCAAAAAGAACAUGAGGCCAAGCAAAAUCAGUGAUUGUAACCACUACUCCAGGAGAAACUUGAAUAGAUCCAGUUUCUGGGUCUGCUUCCCAAGGCAGACCCACUACCAGGGUGGCCAGAGAGGUUGGAGCCUACCUGAAGUGAUUUGAUGAUAACUUCUGUUCAAAAAAAAAACAGAAAGAAAAACAAAAGGUUGAGGAAAUGACUGAGGUUUUGUCUCCAUCCAAAGCUGCAGCCUGGACAUGAGGAGCACUGAUGUGCUCUGACCCUCCUGAGGAAAUCACUGUAGAGACACUGAUACAGAACACAAAGAUAUCCCAACCAGAAUACAGAACAAAUUCCCACUUUCAAUUUUAAAAACACGGUCAUUUAAGCAAAACAUAUUCAAUACUUUUUUUUUCACCACAUUCUACCAUGUUCUCUUAUCUCAUUAACUGCUUCGGCAGGUUGCCACAAGUAACACGAACACAGCUUAAGGCAUUUUUUCAAACAUCUCAAAAAUACAGAAAAAAAAAAAAAAAAGCAGGCAGGUCUCACUGCCUCAUACCAGCUUCUGGAACACUUCGAGUUGCAAGACAUUAUUUUUCAGCCCUUCUGAGCAAAUCUUUCAUGUCUGGAAAGUUGUGAUUCACAAAUACCUCACUACUUCAAAGAGUUAACAGGUCACAGAUUUUUUUUUUUUCUCCCUCUUCUUGCUUCAGGAGAGUAGAUAACAAAUUCAGCAUGUGAAUAUUGGCUCCUAAGGGUGAUCCUUUCAAGUAUUCCAGUGCUGCACAUCCAGUGAGGAAGCAGGGCCAGCUGAUUUGUUCAGUCAUUAUCCUGCUGCAUGGAAGGAGGUUGUUGAGGCUCUUGACACUUUUCAGUGAGCACUAGGCUUUGUUUCACCUGUGACCUUCCGGCUAACGAGUAGCCCUGAAGAAAAGUGCAUUACUGCAGGUAAGUUAGGAUUAACCUCACCUUUUCAAUUCCUGAGCUUGGAAAGGCAUAGAAACACAAUUUCCAGUCCUCAGAGCCCAACAGCAUAACUUUGAUGGAGAUUAUCUACUCUCUGCUGUAGGAUUUCAUCUCAUGAUGUAAUAAGAGGAUUUGAAAAGCAGGGGACAGCAGUCCAGAAUAAAUUUUUUGCAUAAAAUCUCUGCUGUUUUGGUGGUUUCUGUAUUUGCAGGACUUUUCUUUGGAGUAGCAAAGCCCCAUAAUGUUAUAGCUGAGACUGAAUAGAGGUGGAUCACCAGACAGGCUUUUUUAAAAUGAUUUCUGAAAUGUAGGUGAGUUUUCAUGUGCAGUUUUCAAUGUUCUCUGUCUUGCAGUAUGGCAGUGGGUGAUACUACAAUGUGAUUUAUGUUGUUUAUUUAUCAGCAU